CCUCUUCGGCAAAUAGUGGCUCCUUCUGUCUAUAAUAACGAAGUCUUGCAUUCAAGAGUCUCUAUCUUGGAGAAAGUUAUGGGUGCAAUGAUGAAUCCUACUGUUAAUAUGAUAGGGGUGUACGGUAUGAGUGGUGUUGGCAAUACCACUCUAGCUAAAGAAGUUCACAAGAAAGCGAUAGAAGAAAAGUUAUUCGAUGUUGUGGUUAUGGUUACUGUGUCUGAAACGCCAAAUGUUAGAGAAAUUCAGGGGAUGAUUGCUGAUGUGCUGGGCUUUAAAUUCGAAGAGGAGUCAGAAGAUGGAAGAGCAGAUCGAUUGCAUCAACGAUUAGAGAAUGAUUUAAAGAAUGAGAAGAAGAUCCUU
rnacentral:misc_RNA from 1 species